UUGAAGGAACCGUGCGAAUACGCGCCGCCCAACCCCGCCAGGUCCGGAAGGAAGCAACGGUAAGCGGAUGCUUGUUGCGCCGCGGCAAGCCUUCAGCAG
rnacentral:SRP_RNA from 1 species